rnacentral:lncRNA from 1 species
AUGAUCAACCACAUCAAAAAUGAGAUUGGUUGGGCUGUGCUGUCUGCAGGCUGGGAGCACUGCUGUGCUGGCAUGGCACUCUGGUUAUCUCUGAGACCCUGGGAAAGUACAAUGGAACAGCCAACAAAGGGGUUAGGGAAAAAGGAAUCACUCAUCUCAGAGAAAUUUCCAUGGGAAAGAAAAUGCCUCUUGGCUCACCUGUGUGUGCAAGUCUUCAUAUGAUCUGUGUGUGGACAUUUGUUGCAUAACAGAUUGCUGCAUCUGGAAGACAGAACUCAUGAAUCUUUGUAAGAGUUGCAUGAGAUUACAAGUGCUCUAAGGAAUACAGUUGUCACACCCUUGACAAAUCGUGGUCCUUAAUCCUCUCAUGUGGCAAGCAGCUGAUAAUUUUUCCUGGUUACAUCUUUAAGUCCCUUCUCUGAACAAAACAUUUUAAGAUGCAGCAGGUUUUAAUAAGUAUAAAGGAUGUUUCCAACACAAGUAUCUGAACCAACAAUCAAACAAAAUCCUUCAUCUGUGAACCACUAAGAAGUUGUUUUGUUGGCAGGAAGGAAUUAUGAUACUGUGGCAUUAAAAAGAGAAGUAUCCUUUGAUGCUAGGAUUUGGGAUUUUCCUGUGCUAUGGCUGAAUGCAUCCACAUCCAUAUAGUGCUCAGUUUCACUGCCAAGAUGUGGCUGUAAGGGCUCAGGAUUCAUCUUGUCCCAGUGCUGAAACAAGGAGCAGGUAUAAAUGGCACAGUGCACUCUAGGAGGUCACAAAAAUGCUAAAACCCAGAAGCCUAGCUGUCCCCUCACACAGAAGACUGGCUUCAUCCAGAUAAACAAAAAUAUGUCAUUGUCCAGUGCCCACAAAUGAGAAGAAGAAUUGGUUGUUACAUAGAAAUAAGAUGUGAAAACACAUGGAAGUUUUUGCUUAGUUUGAUGGGUGAGCAUUGGGGGAAUUUUUUUGUUGUUGUUUGUUUCUUUCAGUUUGGUCACAAAAAACUGGUCUUUACAGCUCCAUGGAAGGGGAAGAGAUGGGAGAACUAUUCUUCAGGGGUGCUCCUUUCCUGAUGAGUCCUGACCCAUUCUAAGGGGUACUGCUUUUGGAUUGAUGAGAAGCUCAGUAAGGCCUGGCAGUGUGCC